rnacentral:rRNA from 1 species
CCUACGGGAGACAGCAGUGAGGAAUAUUGGUCAAUGGACGGAAGUCUGAACCAGCCAUGCCGCGUGCAGGAAGACGGCUCUAUGAGUUGUAAACUGCUUUUGUACAAGGGUAAACCUGAAUACGUGUAUUCUGCUGCAAGUACUCUACGAUUAAGGAUCGGCUAACUCCGUGCCAGCAGCCGCGGUAAUACGGAGGAUCCAAGCGUUAUCCGGAUUUAUUGGGUUUAAAGGGUGCGUAGGCGGGUUGAUAAGUUAGAGGUGAAAUGUCCGGGCUUAACUCGGGUACUGCCUCUGAUACUGUUGAGCUAGAGGGUAGGUGCGGUAGGCGGAAUGUAUGGUGUAGCGGUGAAAUGCUUAGAGAUCAUGCAGAACACCGAUUGCGAAGGCAGCUUACCAAUCUAUAUCUGACGUUGAGGCACGAAAGCGUGGGGAGCAAACAGGAUUAGAUACCCCGGUAGUC